GUGAGGAAUAUUGCACAAUUAGCGCAAGCUAGAUGCAGCAACGCCGCGUGGACGAUGAAGGCCUUCGGGUUGUAAAGUCCUUUUGAGAGGGACGAGUAAGGACGGUACCUCUUGAAUAAGUCUCGGCUAACUACGUGCCAGCAGCCGCGGUAACACGUAGGAGGCAAGCGUUAUCCGGAUUCAUUGGGCGUAAAGCGCACGCAGGUGGUUGGGUAAGUCGGGUGUGAAAGCCCCAGACUUAAUCUGGGGAGGUCAUUCGAUACUGCUCAACUUGAGAGCGGGAGAGGGAAGCGGAAUUCUGGGUGUAGUGGUGAAAUGCGUAGAUAUCCAGAGGAACACCAGUGGCGAAAGCGGCUUCCUGGCCCGUUUCUGACACUCAGGUGCGAAAGCGUGGGGAGCGAACGGAAUUAGAUACCCGUGUAGUCC
rnacentral:rRNA from 1 species